GAUACCUUUUGUGGUCUGUGCCGACUCGCGCAUAUGAUUCACUCUGUGCUCUCGUCUCGUGUCUCUGGACCACUGCUCGUGUUACGGCGGUUCAUGUGACCCUAACGCGAAAACGGACUUAUUUAAGCAUAUUUACACUGAUUGAAUCGUUCCCUAUACUCUAUAUAGUGCACUAUGUGCCAUUCACCAUGUAGAAACUAGUAAAUGUGUGAGCAAAUGACCGAUUUCAGCCGAGGCUUCAGCGUCUGUAAGAGUGUCGGAGGAGGCGGGGCUUCAGAUUCUAUAGAGCGUUUGAUUGGACCGAAGAUUUGAUGAGAAGCUGAAGUGCGAUGUGAUGUCAUGAAAAUUCGUGAUCCAUUUUAGCGGAAGUGAGAGACUGGGGACUUUAAAACAGUAUGCGAAAGUCCCCGGAUGACCUGCUACUUCUGGCGAGAUUCUGACACUUUACUAUCCCAUGAGGCCACGGGAGGAGAUUUUUGAAUGGCAGUGAAGCGACUCAACUGACUUGGAGGAUAUGAUUUCACCACAAAUGAAGAGAGAGAAAGACGUCCGUUUAACCAGAACUCAUCUCAUGCGCUGGCGAUCGAACAACAACGAGCAGCCGAGAAACAUCCACCAGAGCUUCAUACUCUGAACACGACGAACACGAGUGAUUCAUGAAGGAUCUCAGGCAUGAGUUUACUUUGGAAACACACACAGACCGUCCAGAACAACGCUGUGGUCUGAUACACAAUACUGAAAUUCAGGCAAAAUUAAAAAAGAACGCUGAGGCCUGAAAUUAUUUAGACGAACCUUAAUGAGCAAAUAAAAUAAUUGCGUAAUUGUAACUCAUGAGAUGGAGACGGAUCACUCUCCAAUCCAGUUCUUUUGUUGUUUAGUGAAACAUCUAAUCAUCCUUAAAACAAGAUGAGAUCUUCUCACAUGUUUCUCCUCGAAAAGAUCUCAAUAUGAACUCAAAUAUUCCUCAUCUGAACUGAUCUCAGCUGCUCCACAUUCAUAAUCUUACUGGAUUUAUUGCCUAUUAAUUUAAAAUUUUGAAAAAUGUAACAAUGAGAUUAUGUGGUUUUCUAAAUUAAUUAACACUUCUUUUAUGAUUUAUUACAAGAUGGAUAAAUU